AGAGUUUGAUCCUGGCUCAGGAUGAACGCUAGCGACAGGCUUAACACAUGCAAGUCGAGGGGCAGCAUGAUUUGUAGCAAUACAGAUUGAUGGCGACCGGCGCACGGGUGAGUAACGCGUAUGCAACUUACCUAUCAGAGGGGGAUAGCCCGGCGAAAGUCGGAUUAAUACCCCAUAAAACAGGGGUCCCGCAUGGGAAUAUUUGUUAAAGAUUCAUCGCUGAUAGAUAGGCAUGCGUUCCAUUAGGCAGUUGGCGGGGUAACGGCCCACCAAACCGACGAUGGAUAGGGGUUCUGAGAGGAAGGUCCCCCACAUUGGUACUGAGACACGGACCAAACUCCUACGGGAGGCAGCAGUGAGGAAUAUUGGUCAAUGGCCGAGAGGCUGAACCAGCCAAGUCGCGUGAAGGAAGAAGGAUCUAUGGUUUGUAAACUUCUUUUAUAGGGGAAUAAAGUGGAGGACGUGUCCUUUUUUGUAUGUACCCUAUGAAUAAGCAUCGGCUAACUCCGUGCCAGCAGCCGCGGUAAUACGGAGGAUGCGAGCGUUAUCCGGAUUUAUUGGGUUUAAAGGGUGCGUAGGUGGUGAUUUAAGUCAGCGGUGAAAGUUUGUGGCUCAACCAUAAAAUUGCCGUUGAAACUGGGUUACUUGAGUGUGUUUGAGGUAGGCGGAAUGCGUGGUGUAGCGGUGAAAUGCAUAGAUAUCACGCAGAACUCCGAUUGCGAAGGCAGCUUACUAAACCAUAACUGACACUGAAGCACGAAAGCGUGGGGAUCAAACAGGAUUAGAUACCCUGGUAGUCCACGCAGUAAACGAUGAUUACUAGGAGUUUGCGAUACAAUGUAAGCUCUACAGCGAAAGCGUUAAGUAAUCCACCUGGGGAGUACGCCGGCAACGGUGAAACUCAAAGGAAUUGACGGGGGCCCGCACAAGCGGAGGAACAUGUGGUUUAAUUCGAUGAUACGCGAGGAACCUUACCCGGGCUUAAAUUGCAGAUGAAUUACGGUGAAAGCCGUAAGCCGCAAGGCAUCUGUGAAGGUGCUGCAUGGUUGUCGUCAGCUCGUGCCGUGAGGUGUCGGCUUAAGUGCCAUAACGAGCGCAACCCUUAUCACUAGUUACUAACAGGUGAAGCUGAGGACUCUGGUGAGACUGCCAGCGUAAGCUGUGAGGAAGGUGGGGAUGACGUCAAAUCAGCACGGCCCUUACAUCCGGGGCGACACACGUGUUACAAUGGCAUGGACAAAGGGCAGCUACCUGGUGACAGGAUGCUAAUCUCCAAACCAUGUCUCAGUUCGGAUCGGAGUCUGCAACUCGACUCCGUGAAGCUGGAUUCGCUAGUAAUCGCGCAUCAGCCAUGGCGCGGUGAAUACGUUCCCGGGCCUUGUACACACCGCCCGUCAAGCCAUGGGAGCCGGGGGUACCUGAAGUGCGUAACCGCGAGGAGCGCCCUAGGGUAAAACUGGUGACUGGGGCUAAGUCGUAACAAGGUAGCCGUACCGGAAGGUGCGGCUG
rnacentral:rRNA from 1 species